rnacentral:rRNA from 1 species
UACGAAGGGUGCAAGCGUUAUUCGGAAUCACUGGGCGUAAAGAGCGUGUCGGCGGUUUUUAAGUCAUCUGUUAAAGGGCUCGGCUCAACCGAGUACAUGCGGGUGAUACUGAAAAACUAGAGUACGAGAGAGAAGGGUAGAAUUCUCGGAGUAGCGGUAAAAUGCGUAGAUCUCGAGAGGAAUACCGGUUGCGAAGGCGGCCCUUUGGCUCGUAACUGACGCUUAAGCGCGAAAGCGUGGGGAGCAAACAGG